GAAGCCACAUAUUUCUACAUCAGUUGCAGCUUUAUGGGGAACUAGCAGUGGGGCUGGUGGGUGCAACCGAAAGGUUUCUUUAACUAUGGAUUGUAAGUAAGGGAACUUCGAGAUGUCUGAUUCUUGAACUAUCCCUUCAUUCCCAAGGACUCCUCGGAUCUCCUUUUGAGCUUUUGCCAUUUUUUCCGGGUUGCUUAGUAACUCUGCCAUUGCCCACUCUACUGUGCUUGAAAUCGUGUCAGUUCCCGCAACAAAGAGAUCCUGAUCAUACAAAGCAAUGUUAGAAUUAAGGUUUCAUUGAUCAUAAUUUGCAAUUUGCACUUACCAAUGUUUUCUACAUGAAAGCUCAAGAAAAAUGUGUGCAAGAAGAAACUCCAAGGAAGACUGACUUCUAAUUGAUUGUUUACUUAAAUUUUCUAGGUCAAUUCAGUUUAAUAACUAUAACAAAUUUCAUAAAUGCAUCAAAUUGAAUGUGACAUAUGUGUAUAAAGAUGAAGACUUUUUAGCCAAAUGAAUUCAUUUUCCUCCACAAUAUCCGGUUUCCAUAAUUGGGUUUGAGGAGUUCUGAAGGAAUUAAUGAAUUUUUGGACAUUUAAAUAAAGAUUAAUAGGGUAAAAGAUAGAGAGAAGAAACCAUGGGAAAACAUAAGUUCAACGAAGGAAUUUGAUUUUCAAAUGUUUUAUUGAAUUUGAUUGAUUAAGAGUGUGUUUAAGAGCAUUUUUAUUUUUAUUUUUGUUUUUAAUUGAAUUAAUUUUCUAAAACUUUUUUUACGAGAGAAUCAUGAAUUAAUGAUUUCUCAAAAAAGAAAAUUAUAAGUAAUUUUAAAUAUAUAUUUUUUCAAAUAUUUUAUAAAUUUUAUUAAAUAUAUUAUUUUUCUACCAAGACAAGAAAAUAUUUUUGAAGUAACUCUAAGUGUCGUAUAUAAAAGAAUAAAAACAUAGAGAUGAAACUUACCUUGAUAGGGAAGGCACACAACAAAAAUAAUAAUCACCAUGCUGACGAGCUUCACCCAUAAAAGCAUUUUAUUCGUGAAAUUAACUACGAAUCCCAAAAAUUUGUUUUGAAAGAUUAUGGGCCACAACCAAAAGAAAGGACAAAAUUCUUAAUAAACCUAUCAUGAAAAACCAUAAAUAUUGAGGAAAAAUACACUAUCCAAAAAACAAUAUAUUAUCAUUCAAAGAGGCAAAGGGUGUUUGAUAAAAUUUAAUAUUUACAAUUUUAUAACUUGAGUUAAUUUUAAUUAAAUUAUUUUUAGGUUGUUUAUUGAUUUGAAGCUUAUUACUUUAUUUUUAUUAUAAGUAUCAAUGUUAUUUGAUAAAAUUAGUUUAAAAUUAAUUCUAAAUUAUCAAAUUUACAUAUUUAGCCUCAUCAAUUUUAACUAAUAUUUAUAUUUUCACUUAUAUUAAUUAAUAAAUUUAUUUGUUAAAUAUUCAUAUUUAAAGUAUUAUAGAUAUAUAAGUUAACUCCAAAAAUGUUUAUUAUAAAAGAUGAGUUGUGAAUAUAAAGUUAUAGUUCUAAAAUAUGUUCCAAGUAAACACGGAUAAAUAAGUUAAAAGAAAUUUAAGAUAAAAAAAACAAAUUAGUUAUUUUGACUUAAUACUUAAAAUUGAUUUUGAUUUUAAACUGUAAUAUUAAGUUAUUAGAUUAAAUUAAGUUAUUAAAUUGAUUUACCGGGUAACAUUCAACUUUUUUACCUAUACAAAUAUACCCUAAAAGAAAAAUAUAAAAUAAUGUAUGCUUGCCUUAAUGGUUCUUUACUAAUCCUCAAAAGAACAGUUUAAGGAUAUAUUGGUAAAAUAAAAUAAAAUAAAAAAUCAUUAUAUUUUAUUUCUUUUCUAUGUGAUCUUACCUUUUUAGUAGAAGAUUAGUUAUCACUAUUUCCUUUAAUUUUAGGUUUUUAUUUAAAUAAAAGUGGUCUUUUUGAAAGUAAUUUAGGAGAUGUUUGGAAACUAUUCUUAAAACAACAAUUUUCAAACUUAAAAAAUACUUAUAAUAAAUUUUUUUAUUGAAAAUGGUAUUUUAAAAAUUUGUUUUGAAAAUAAGGUUUAAUAAGGAAAAUGCUUUGAGAACUUUUUUUAUUAUAUAUUAAUGUAACUAUUUUAGUAUAAUUUUAUUCUUAAAAAUUAGUUUUAAAAAUUAUUUUAAAUAAACAUUCUUUAAAAAACUAUUCUAAAAAAUAUUGUCAAAGGGAUAAUCACGGAUAAUUAUGAUCUUAAGUGAUUUAAGAUUAUAUUAAGGUGGUGUUUGUUUUUAUAUUGAACAAAAAAAAUCAAAAUAUUGAAUUUUUUUUAUUCAAUUAAAAGUAGUAUAUUAAUAUCAAUUAAUAUAAUUAAAAUAAAUUUGUUAUUAAUAUUUAGUUUAUAUAAAUGGAUUACUUUUACUUGAAUAAAAAAAUUAAAGAUUUAAAUUUUUUCCAUUGACCCAAAAAACAAAGACGACCUAGUUCUUUGAGUCCACUGCCCUCGGAAGUAGGAAAUAUUUGAGUCCUUUGGAAUGGUGGAUGGAAAAUAAUUGUGUAAGGUCUUUUGCCCAAUCACAAAAGUCUUGGCUUUCACAAUCAUCACCUUAUCAAAAUGGUUUACAAUUCAGCCACUGCGCAUUCAAUCACGAUUAUUGCCAUUGGAUAAUUGGCCUAGGGCUAUACGAAAGGGCCCUUCUUUCCUUUUCCUCACACCUCUCACAUCUUGGAGUUAAGUGAAGAAAAGAAGUGUGAUGUAGACGGAUUGAGAGAUCAUGCAUGCUUUUAGGGUUGAAGAAAAGGCAAUAGGGUUUAGCAAUUAAUACAAAUAUCAUAUCUAGAAAUAAUAAAAAAGAAGCAUGAAAAUAUCGAUACACACCAUAUAUAUAUAUAUAUAUAUAUAUAUAUCGGUAAUUAGAUUUUACUAAAAAUAUUAUUGUUUAUUUUAAAAAAAAUAUUGAUGAGAUGAAAAUUUAUUUAAAAUUUAUUAAAAUAUUUGAAAAAGUUUUAAAUGAUAAAAAAAAAAAAACAAAUAUUAAAGUUAAAAUUAUUUUUAAGUAUAAUUGAUGUAUAUAUAAUUAAGGAUAAUAUUUAUCAAUUUUUUUGAAAAAAAAUAUCUCAAAUUCUUUUAAUAUAUUUAUAUUUAUUUAUUUUAAAAAUUAAAAUUUAUUUUUAUUAAAUAUGUUUUAUUAUAUUUUAAAUAAAAAAUUAAAGUCUUUUUAAGAUUUAUAUAAAAUAUUUUAUUUGAAAUUUAAUUUCUAAAAUUUUAUUACUUGUGGUAACAACUUUUUGAAGAAUAAUUUAUUUAAAUAAUUAAAAUUAAAAAAUUAUAUUAAUAAUUUAUCUUAUCAAAUUAAUUUUAAUUUAUAAAAUAUUAUACCUUCAUUAUUAUUUUUAAUAUAUAUAUAUAUAUAUAUAUAUAUAUAUAUUAGUAAUUUUUUUGAAUAAAUUUGUAUUUUUAAUAUUUUAAAAUAAAAACAUUCAAAAUUAAAAUGAUAAAUAUAAAGAAAUUAAAAAAUGAAGUGAUAGUUUAAAAUAUGAUUAACGAGAUAAAUGAUGAUAUAUUUAAUAUUAAAACUAUAAUUUAUUUAGUUCAAAUGCAUUCAACAAUGUAAAAUAAAUGACGAUGUAUAUAUUAUUUUUUUAAUUUUUAUAUUUAAUUAUCAUAUAAAUGAUAUAAAAAAAGACUUGUUAAGAAAAUUAUAAGAAGGGCUUUUAUACUUUUAUUAAUCAAUUAAAUAAAAUAAUUAGAAUUAAUUAAUUUUUUUUAAUAAUGUUUUUUUAAACAUAUUUAUGUUUAUGAACAUUUAUUAAUAAAAGUGGAUUUGUAGCGUAAAAAUUUAGAAUGAGUUGAUCGGCGAAAAGGCCGAUAAAUGCUAAUAUUUCGAAGAUAUAAUAAUUCUCGUUUAAUUUGUUUUUAGGAACUCAAACAUAAAAAAUAAUUUUUUGAGCUCAUUAAUUCUCUAUAAAGUAGUACUAUAUACUUAUGCAAUAAAAAGUUUUCAAAAUAUUCUUUAUUUUCAAUUAUUAUUCAAAAUAUUUUACAAAAAAAUAACUCGUUCUAAAAAUUAACCUUUUCAUAACAAAUUCUUAAAAAAAAAAAAAGUUUUCUAUCAAUGGUAAACAUGUUUUCUAAAUUAUAAAAUAAUUUCUUUAUUUUAAAGAAUAAAAAAGUGUUUGCAAUUUUUUUGUUAAAUCAUUAAAAAAUCUUGAAAUAUCUUUACACGGUCACGUAUCAUAUAAAAACAAUUUUACAAUAUAGAAUUUCAUGAAAAAUGUGGCAUGAUUCAUUAAAGUAAAAUGUUAUACGCACAAAGCAUUAGAUAUAUUAUACUUUGACAGUUGACAAAUAUAAAUUUUAUCAUAAUGAUAAAGUGUCUCUUCUUAUACCUCUAAUCAAUCCUUUGAUGUUUCAUUGUUAGAAUAGUUCAAUCUCAUUAUAAAAUAAUGAAAGGUAUAAGACUAUAAAUAUCUUUAUAAACAGUUGUAAAAGAUAAAUAAAUAAACUUACAAUUAAGUUGGAAAAUGACAUUUAUCUUUAUCAUUGAGGCACAUUAAUAUAUGGAGUCAAAGCUUAAGUUUUGCAACAACAACAAUAAUAAUGAAAGCUUGCAAAACCCAUAUAUAAAUGUGAUAUAACAUAAAUAUGACUAAAUUUUGAUUGGAAUAGUAUGUUCUUGUAGGAAUGACAACAGGGCAAGUUUAGGAUAAGUUGCUCCAUCUCAACCUCACAUCGUUUAUUUAAAAUAAUUAUUAUCCCCAUUCUAUUAAAAAAAUUAAAUGGGUUAAGUCAAAACGACAUGGGUAUAUGAAUUUCCAUACUCGUCUCAUCUUGUCUUAUUUAACUUUUUGUCAUAAUAUUUUAAUUUUUUUUAAUUACAUUAAAAUAAAUAUAUUUUAUAAAUAAUUAAAAUAUUAUAAUUUUUAUAACUUAUCUUAUUGAAAAGUAUUUCAUUAUUAUUAUUAUUAUUAUUAUAUAUUAAAAAUAUGAAAAUAAAAAUUAAAUUAAUUUAAUUUUAUAUAUAAUUGGAACGAGGUAGAGAGGGAUAAGACAAUAUCCAAACCUGUUUUAAACCCAUCUCGGGUUUUAAAAAAAAUAUCAAACUCAUUCCAUUAUGGAUAGGGCAGGACGAGUACUCGAAAAAACCCCUCAUCCCAAUAUGCUAUGCUUUCUGCAAUGUAAACCCAAACUUCUCACUCAUGUCUAUAUCUUUAGGUAUCAUCGCAUCUCCAAGCUCCUAACAAAAGGAACAAAGAAGAGAAGCCAACAUCAAAUGAAUUGUUAACUUAAGUUCUAAGUCAAUUUUAGUCCAAUAACUUCAACCAAUUUCAUUAUUGGAGUAAUUGUUUAAGCAAAAAAGCAGGAAAUAAUACAUAGCUGGUGGGGAAGUUACUAGGGAUUGAGGAAUAGACGGAGGAAGAAAGAGAGAAAUUAAGAGAAGAUGAAAUCACUCUCUGAUUAUUAGAAGUCAUCUUUUCCUUAAAGCUAAUUAGAAGCACACUAGUUCAACUAAAUGAUUAGGAAAUUCAAUGUCCCAUGGAUCACACUGUGCAUUGAGAUUCAUAUUCUAGGGACAUAUAAACAGGUAACAAAAUUAGAUCAUUCCAUAUUAUUUUCCAAACUACUUGACACAUGCCAUCUCAAUUGCCUUGAAUUCAGUCAUUAAACUUACAAUUAAUUGUUAUCAUCGAUACAAAAAAAAUUGCAAGAAGUCAUCUUUUGAACUCCAAAAGUCGGUCCUAACUUUAUGAAGUUGGACGGUUUGAAAUGCAAAGUUACAUGGAAUGAAAUAGACUUCCCAUGGCCCCUAAAUUGGAAAUCAGUGAUUAGUAACUGUCAAGAGAGAUUGAGAUACGUACCCAUUGUGAGAUUCAAACGAAUCAUAGAGAGAAAAAGAAAGGAAAAUCUAGGGUUUUUUUUAUUAUGACCCUACUUAGAAAAUAGUUACAACAUAAAUAGAGUUUAAAUAGGUUUACAAUUAAAGAAAAUAAAGAAAGAUAAUAAUUCUAAUAUAGUAAUAAAUAACUCUAACAAAUAAAUAACACUAAACAUCCCCCCACAAACUCACAAUGUACCUGGAAGAAGCAUUAAGAGUUCACCACCGAAAAUUGAAAGCACAAAAGCGGGUGGUAAACAAGUCUGCAAUCUGUAAAGAAGAAGGAACAGAAGGCAAGGUAAGAAUAUCGUGUUGAAGGUGAUGGCGAGUAAAAUAACAAUCAAUCUUAACAUGUUUCCUCCUUUCAUGAAAGACAGACUUGUAUGCAAUUUGAACAAUACUCUUGUUGUCACAAUAAACAGGAGUGAGACAAGAAAAUGAAACACCCAUAUAUAUCAACAAAUAACUAACACAACCAAACUAUAUCUAAUUAGUGGUAGAUGUCAUAGAACGAUGUUCCAACUUUUAUGGAAUAUUAAGAAAUGAUAGACUAUUACUUGCUCUUAAAAGAAAUAAAAGAAUCAACAUCAUAAUAUGCACGUAGCUCCAAAAGAGGAAGUGGACAGAAGUAAAAGACAUUGAAAUAAAAUGCCUUGGAGAUGUCGUAGAAUACACGUAGCUUAAUGAAUUAUAACAAGAUAAGCAACAAAUUGACUAAUAAUGUGAACAACAUAAGUAAUGUUCAAAUGUGUGAUUGUGAGAUAGACCAAGCUACCAACAAUGGCACAAUGUAAAGUAGGGUCUAGUUAGAGGGUACCACCAAAAAAAAAAAAAUAUACCGAACAUUAACCUUAAAAAGGUUAUCAACAAUCUUAGUAUCAGUAAGGCGAACAUGAUCAAGAAUGUCAACUAUGUACUUAGACUACCAAAGAAUAAAACUUUUCGGAGAACAAGCUACCUUAAUACCUAAAAAGUGUCAUGGAGACCUCAAAACUUUCAUUUCAAAAUGAAAAGCUAAUUAGGAAUACCUAAAUAUCUUUAUUUCCAUCCCUAGACUUCCAUGGUACAUGUAUAACUAACGUAAGGUCCUCUAGAUCUAUAUACAAUGAAAGCAAUAGUAUUUAAAAACUUAGACAUAUAGAUAAGAAGGUCAUAUUGGUGAUCUGAAUGUUCACAAAUAAACUCCAAUUGAAAAAAAUGCAUCGUAGAUCUUGAAAACCAAACAGUCUUCCACCCAAUAGCUCUCUUUCUUGGAUCUUGGCAUGAGAAGACAUUGAAUCCUUUCUAAAAAUGGUGGAGCCUAGGGUUCCUCUUUAGAGUCUGAAAGAUUGAAGAUCUCCUAAAACCCUAACCUAUAAGGGGGUUUAUAUAAUUUUCUCUAUAAGCUUAAGUGACUUAAGCCCAUUUUAGGCUUUGGUCACUUAAUUUAGCCUACUUAACUCCUAAUUAAUUAAUUAGCUCUAUUGGGCUCUAAUAAAUUAAUUAGUCCAAUUCAAAAAGACCAUUCAUAAUUAGUUUGUGUGCAACCUUAUAUUUUUACUAAAAUGCCCUUAUGCAUACAUAUGAAUAAAGAACCCAAAUACCCCCUUAAUAAAAAUGUCACUAAGGAAUAUGAGCUUGAUCAAGAAUUACUAUGACCCAUAAAAAAAUAUUGGCUAAUCUAAUUCUCAAGUUGACUUGAUAUCUCACUAUAGUAGGUAAACUGCACUAUAAUAUCUUACGAAUUAGUGUCUACGAUAUAAAUUUGAGUUUAUGACCUAUUAUAUAUCCACCGUAUACAGACUCCCCAUGAAUUAGUGUCUACAAUCUAAUGAAGUAGAUUUUAUUAACGUCUCAAGAUUACCUCUACAAUCCUUGAGUCUCAUAUCCUUAUAUUAUGUAAUUAAUCGACAUAGUCUAGCUUUCUAAGAGUAUAUGUCAAAUUCCAGUAAAACAAUUAUUAUAACCAUAGAUUUCCAAUCAUAUGUGAUUAGGACCAUCCAAGGGGACACACGGUCUCAAACCCAUGAGAUAUCAUAAAUUAAAAGUUCCAUUAAAAUCUACCUUGUUAUGACGGCCCACCCCUCCUUGCAAGCGUCAUCCUCGUAAGACAGAUUCUCCUCUCUAGUUUAAAGAUUGAGAUGGAGACACCAUCCUACAAAGGGAAAUUAACUUGUAAUCAAAUAAAUUAUGUCAGAGCAGCAUAAAGAAGCAUAUUGAAGGGACUAUGUAAUCAUUACUUUUCCAAGAUACAAAGUUUUGAGUAAAUAAAAACUGGCUUUAAGGAGCCGAAAACUUGUACAUACCUAAGGAAAUGGCUACAUCUUAGUAGUAUAUCCAAAAAAAAAAAAAGCAAAAAGAAAAAGACAACAAUGGAUAUAUGCCUUAUUAUCUAUUUUCUGAAACUUGCUCAGUAUUUGGUUCUACUAGGUCCUCAUCUGAAAAUUUUGGGGAACUAUAAAAUGAGUAUAACUGAGUGAAUGAUCAUAUAAUGCAGGUUUUAGGAUGGUCAAUCUAAGAUAGAAAAAAGUAUUUCAUCAUGCAUGUAACACUCAAUGUAAAUAAUAUAUAGUAUAACAAUCAAGUAGGCAUACAACAUCGAACACCCCGAUGUAUAAUCAAUCAAACAUAUGCAUAAUCCACGAUUACGGUACCAUUCCAACUCUUGGCACAUCCAAAUAUCAUGAAAUAUAAUUGCCACCAUUGUCUCUUUCUUUACCGGCGUAUAUCACAUAUGUGUCUACAAACGUCAUAUAUCUCAUAUAACACGGUGUCAUAUAGACACAAUGCCCCUACAUCUCUUGGCACACUUUCCAUACAAACUGUUCCAGUGCCCCUUAGUCUCUUAGCACAAAAGAUUACUAGGUUAAUCGGCUACUGUGUGUCCCUCCAUCUCUACAAUACAAUAUAAGUCCAAGGCAUAUUACAACCACAUGCAUAGUAAUAAUAUAAAGUACAAUAACGAUAGUGCCAGUGAUUUUUAGUGAAUAGUACGUACUAGGUAAUCUCUCAAGAAAGAUUGAAAGGGCUUAAAACUCAGCCUCUUUAGAUAGAGCUUCCCUAAACCAUAUCCAUCCAUUCAUAAUCAUAGAACCAUCUUAAAUAUAUAUAUAUAUAUAUAUAUAUAUAUAUAUAUAUAUCAAUGAUACAGGGAACACAUUUAAUAUAAACACAACAUUUGACCAACAUAUUUUCAAAGCAUAUCUCAUGAUAUUUCAAAAAUAAUGAAUACAUAUAUCACACUUGAAACAUAAGAUAUAUAAUUUUAAAACCAUAUAAAAUCAUGUAUUAUAAGAUCACUCAUCUUUUAGAUUGGAAUUAUUGCACUACAUCCAUUACGAUGACUUAAAGAUCCAACUUUUAGAAUAACACCACUAUAGGAGUUUUUUCAUACUUCUUUCCUUUCCUUUCUUAGUAGGUGAAUGCCCUAUUUAUAGGAACCCAAAGUAGGUGAAACACAUAGGAGACUCGUCGCUAGAUGUCGAUCAAAGGGUAGUGAUUAGUGUUUCACUUAUUACAUGGAGACGACACAUGGCACAUGCUUAAUCCUUGCAGGUACUUGAUAGGUACAACAACUUGCUGGAGAUGACAUGUGGCAUGUGUUUAAUCCUUGUAGCUGCUUGGUAGGUGCAGCAACUUGUUGGAAACAACAUGUGACGUGUGCUUAAUCCAUGCAAUUGCUUAGUAAGUGCAACAACUUUUUGGAAAUGACAUGUGGCACAUGCUUAAUCCUUGCAGCUACUUGGUAGGUGUAGCAGCUUGCUAGAGAUAACACGUGGCACAUGUUUAAUCCUUGCAACUGCUUGGCAAGAACAACAACUUGUUGAGUCACCAUGUCAUACUAGUAUCAAGCGAUGAAGGUGGCUUAGUGUCCUCUAGGUUGCAUGCAUUUCCACACCUCGUACUUGGUUGCAUAUGUUGGACACCUCAUGUUUGGUUGCAUGCCUUGGACACCUCAUGUUUGGUUGCAUGCCUUGGACACCUCAUGUUUGGUUGCAUGCCUUGGACACCUCAUGCUUGGUUACAUGCUUAGACACCUCAUGCUUGGUUACAUGUUUGGAUACCUCGUGCUUGGUUGUAUGUCUAGACACCUCAUGCUUGGUUGCAUGCUUGAACACCUUGUACUUGGUUGCAUGCCUAGACACCUUGUGCUUGGUUGGAUGCCUUGGAUACCUCUUGCUUGAUUGCAUGCUCUUUGACACCUCAUAUUUGAUUGCAUGCCUUGGACACCUCCUGCUUGAUUGCAUCCUCUUUGACACCUCAUACUUGAUUGCAUGCUUAUUGACGCUUAAUGCUUGGUUGCAUGCCUUGGAGACCUCAUCCUUGGUUGCAUGCAUUAAUGUGAUACCUUAAGCUUAGUAAAGGAUAGAUAAGAGGGUGAUUCUCUUACUUGCUUAGUAAGAAGGUGGCUAAAAGGAACUUUAGAAGUAUUAAUAUUAAAAACUAGGGAUGUUACACUUGCUCUAAUACAUAUAUACGAAUAAGAUUUAAAACAAUCAGAGAAAAAAAAAUUAAGACAUCUUAUUAUGACCACUUAAAAAAUACAUAGAACACAAAUAAAGUUUAAAUAAGUUUAAUUACAAUUAAAAAAUUAAAAAAAAACAAAAAAACAAAUCAAUUUACCCUUACUUUUAAAAAGAAAGAUAAUAGUUCUAACAUAAUAAAUAAAUAUUUCUAACACCCACCAAAACCAAAUGAAUUACAUCACUACAGCUCCACUCAUUCCCAUUUUCCUUGGUAAUUUGAAGGAGGGCAUCUGGUAAUUGCAACCGUUGAUUGAUAUUACUAAAAACAUAACUUUUCAUGGUUUGCAUCUUGCCAUGUGGGUCAAUUUAUAAUCUAAAGGCAGAGAAAUAAUCUACAAUCAGCCCUUCAGCUAUCUUUGCCACUAAAAUUACUUUUUUAGCGGCAUCUCAUUAAAAGGUGAAAAAAAAGGUAUGUUUGUAUGACUUUCAUAGAUUGAUUCACGAUGCGGGAAAUGAAAUAUGCAAAAUAAAUACAAAUUCCUACGUGAAAUAAGGUAUUUGAGUAACCACGAUGAAGAUGAUAACCAAGCAUUCGUGUUCGACAACUAUACAAAUCAUCCAUGCAAAAAAAAAAAAAACUUGAAAACGGUUGUGUUAACAUGAACAUGACCUUAUUCCAAAUCCUAAAGAAUAUUUUUCAGUUACACAUUAAACCAAUGGGAACACGACACAAAAAAUUAUUUAGCUAUAUAUAAAGAGAGGUUCUAGAACUAGGCAAAAAAACACAAUGCACCAACAAUUGGAGUUAUCCGUGGGAAUCGACAAAACUUCGAGUUCCUGUUAUAAAUAAAAUAAUAAUAAUAAUAAUAAUAAUAAACAAUCUAAGCUUUGGUGAUGCUAGAGAAGAAUAUUUGCAAUAGCUACCCUCUCUUCUUAAAUUGAAUCUCAUUUCCCAAAUCCAAAUGAACCAAAUCCCUAACCAAUAAUACAUUAUUCUCUUAAUCCACCCUCAUACCUUAAACCCUAACCCUCCAUUGUGGCUCAUAUAUGUCUUCAAUCCAGAAACUCUAAUUCUGCAUCUAGGAAUCUUCAACGAUUCUGAAAACCCUAUUUUUAUCGGUAAAGAAAGCCAUGGAUGAAACUCCUUAAGCUCAAGUUGCGUGCGGACAAGAUACUCUGAAUAUGCUCAACUUCAUUACAAAGUUUGUCUUCAAUCAAGGCAAAUGCCUCUAAUUCUGGUAGGUCUUACGCGAUUGCGCUUUUAACAAACAAUAAAUUCAAAAAACUCAACAGGGGGUUUUGAUUCAUACUUCAACAGUAAGAAAGAAGAGAUUGAUUACAUCAUGAAUUGUCAAAUUCGUCCCUUGUGGCUGCACUACUUCUAGAAUAUGCAAGGUCUUAUAUAUUUUCGUCGUGGAAAACAAUGAUAGGGAUCUAGUCGUUGAGAAAUAAGUGACAAGCUUGGUCUCCAGUCUCUUCGCCAACACCAUUGGUACAUCCAGAGCACAUGUGCAACCUUAGGAGAAGGUCUUUAUGAGGGAUUUAAUGUUGAGACGAUGGAAUAUAAGAAUAUUAGUUUCACUGUUUGGGAUGUUGGUGGUCAGGAUAAGGUAUUUAUUUCCUUUCCUUUGUUUCUUUUUCCUUAUUUAAAUCGUCAUAUGCCUAUUGGUUACUUAUCUUGAGGACCACAUAUGUGAUAUUCCAACAUCAUUUUGUUUCCAUGAUUCAUGGAUUCUAGCUUUAACAUAGAUAUGUUGGAAUUUUUAUGUGUGGACUUACAUAAUCAAUUUGAUAAUAUCAUAAAUCAGUGUUAACUUAAUUUUUGCAUUGUGGUCCAUAAUGGGACUGGACACAUAUUGUUGCUUGAUUUUUUAUGGGCUCACCCUAAUUCACUUGACUAGCCCAUUAAGUCAAGUGGUCCAAAUAAAGUGUGUAAUGUGUAAUAUAUAUAUGAAUUUAUAUAUAUAUAUAUAUAUAUAUAUGUGUGUGUGUGUGUGUGUGUGUGUGUGUGUGUGUGUGCGCGCAUUUGGAGAGUUUCCUCUUUUCUUCUCUUGGAGAGCACUGCACGCACACACACUUGCACUUUGGACUGAAUUCUUGGGAAGCAAGGGAAGAGCUCAUUGAUCCCUAAUUCUCGCACCAUCACGCACCUGGAGCAGCUUAUUGGAUAUCAGAGGAGGAAGAAAUGGCUUCCUAUGACAUAAACCAAGGUAACCAGUUGAAUUUUUGCUAUUAAAUGCAUGCUUAAAUGUUAACAUGUGAUCCUAUGUUAUUUCAAUUCUCUUCAAUUGGUAUCAGAGCUAGCACAGAUGACACUUGAGCUGCAAUUUUGGUUUAAAAUUUGGUUUCUCGUUUUCUUAUUAUGGAAGCCAUUUUUUGGGGGUUUUUUUUUUGUUUGGUGUUAAUUCUUGGUUUUCAAGCCCAAUUGAGGUUGGAGACUUGUAGAGAAUAUUGUUUGGAGCAAAACCCAUCGAUUUUUGUGAUUUUUGGAGCUCAUUUGAUGAUAUUUCGAAAAUUAGGGCUUGUUUGGUUCUUGCUAUUAUGCGUUUUUUGUGCAUUUUUUUUGGGUUUGGAUUGAAGGAUUGAUGUUUGAGGAUGGAAAUCUAAGUGUUUUUUUCGAAAAAAAUGCGCAAAAUUUUGGGCGGAAUUUUUUUUUUUCUUCUCCAUAACCAAGCCGUGUUCAGCUGGAGGAGAAGAUGAACAGGGCCUUGCUGACGUCAUUAAAAAAAAAAAAAAAAUUUUGUUUUUUUGUUUUUUUGUUUUGUUUGCCUUGGUAUUCUUGGAUUGAUUAUGCAUAUGUUAGAAUUAUUAUGCAUUUGUUAAAAUUGACUUUAUUGGGACAAUUAUUAUAAUUAUUGUUUUUUUUUAUGGUAUAAUUUUUAUUUUAUAACAAUAAUGUUGUCCAAGGUCAAUUUUGUUAACUAUUUAAAUUUAUUGUGGCAAUAAAUAACACUUGUGUGAUUGCCUAUCGCAAUUCCAAGUGUGUCAAGUUGCGCAAAUUAAAUAUUUCAGUUUAUCAUGACAAUAGUGAACAUAUAUGUGGUUGGCUAUCGUGACCCUAUAUGUGUCAAAUUGUCUUUGCUGAGAUAAUUUAACUCCCACAUUUAGUUGCUUUAUUAUUGUGAUUACUAAGAUCCAUACGGGUAUUGUAAUUAUCCUAUCGAUGAUAAUAAUACUUGGUAGGAUGCUUAGAUUGGUGAAGGAAAUUAAUUGUAUAUUAUGAACCGUACUAAUUUUCUUUGCCCUUUCGGUAAUAAAAUUAGUACAUCUUGAUUGUAAUAUUUAAUUAGUUGUCCUUACCGCCGUGGAAUUUUCAAAAUUCCAAGCUAUUGCUAAAUUGAGAAAUUAUGGAAACUAGCAAAUGCAUGAUAUUGUAAUAACAUGCAUAUUGUUGAAUUUUGCUAUUUUCCAACUACCAGCAAUCUUGGUAUUUCUCUACAAUUGUCUGCCAUCAAACCUCUUACUGGAAAUAAUUUUGAAGACUGGUUUGAGUCUUUCAACGUGCACAUGACUCUGUAAAAUCUGAACUUGGCUUUGAAUGUUGAUGAGCCAAGUAAGCCCACUGAUGUGAGCUCUGCAGAUGAAAGAUUAUUUUAUGAAAGAUGGGAGCACUCCAACAGGAGUUGUUUGAUGGUGAUGAAAUAUACUAUGGAUAAAUCUAUCAAAGAAUGCGUGCCAAAGACGGAAAGGGCCAAAAACAUAUUGGAAUAUGUGAAGGCCAAUUAUACCAAGAUUGAUAAGGCAGAAAUGGCAACUCAUUUGAAGCUUCUCACAACUACUGUAUAUGAUAGAGUCAGUGGGGUUAGAGAUCAUAUCAUCAAGCUAAAGCACUACUUCAACAAGGCAAAUGAGAUGAAAGUGGAGUUGGGUGAAAAUUUUCUGAAAUGGUUGAUACUUGAGUCUCUUCCUGUUUCCUUUGAUGCAGUGAAGUUGACUUACAAUGCCUUGAAGGAAGAAUGGACUCUAGAGGAGUUGAUGUCCAUUGUAGUGUAACAUGAAGUCUCACUGAAGAAAAAUGAGACUCACUCCCUUACUCUUGUAACUGAUAAAGUCAAUAAUAUGAAGAAAAAACCUCCACACAAGAAUUUUGGAGGCUUUAAGCAGUUCAAGAAGAAAGGGAAUUCAAAUCAAGGUACCUCCAAUGCAUCUGCUUCUUCUAAUGCUGCAAAGAGUGAGAAAUUCAAGGGGAAGUGCAACUUUUGCCACAAUAUUGGCCACAAGCAAGCUGAUUGCUUCAAAUUUAAAAAUUGGCUAGAGAAGAAAAAGAAAGGUGAAAUUAUGGUUGUGGUUAAUUUGAAUGCAAACAUGAUUGAGACAAAUAUUGUUGAUGUUCAUGCCAAUUCUUGGUGGUUAGAUACUGGUGCCACUAUUCAUGUCACUAAUUCUUUACAGGAGAUGACAAACAAAAGGAGGCCGUCAAAGCAUGAAGAAUGUGUGUAUAUGGGUGACGGAAGCAAAGUGAAAGUGGAAUUUUUUUGGCAUGAUAAAGCUAAAGUUGAUCAUAGAAAGUUUUUUGUUGUUACAUAAUGUGGCUUUCAUACCCUCACUUCGAAGGAAUCUGAUUUCUGUAUCUUCUUUGGAUAGACAUGGUUAUUCUUUUCACUUUAGAGGUGGAAAAGUGGAUAGUUUUUGCAACUCAGUCUUAAUUGGCAAUGGUGUUUUGUUUGGAAAUCUUUAUAGUCUCAGUUUGCAUCAUGGUUCAUUAUGUGAUUCAUCUUCUGUUAAUUCUGUUGUUGGUUGCAAGCGUGCUAGAAUGAAUUUGAGUUCUUCCAUGUUGUGGCACAAACGCCUAGGUCAUAUUUCUAGGCAAAGAUUAGAGAUAUUGGUUAAAGAUGGUGUGCUUUCUAAUAUUGAUUUCUUAGACUUCGAAACUUGUGUUGUUUGCUUAAAGGGGAAGAUGACAACAAAGACCAGAAAUGAGAAGAUUGAUAGGUGUGGAAAUAUUUUAGACUUGAUCCACACAUAUAUAUGUGGUCCUUUGACACCAAUUGCUUUAGGGGGUUAUAAAUAUUUCAUCACUUUUAUUGAUGAUUUCUCUAGAUUUGGUUAUGUUGAACUAAUCCAUGAGAAAUCUGACUCCCUGAAUGUGUUUAAAGCCUUUAAGGCUAAGGUGGAGUUGCAAUUGGGAAAGCCUAUUAAAGCUGUGAAGUCUGAUAGAGGUGGUGAGUAUUAUGGGAGAUAUGAUGAGACUGGACGAAAUCCUGGACCAUUUGCUAAGUUUCUGUUGGAAUGCAGCAUUGAUGCGAGAUAUACAAUGCCAGACACUCCUCAACAGAAUGGGGUUGCAGAAAAGAGGAAUCGCACAUUGUUAGAUAUGGUGAGGUGCAUGUUGUCUAAUUCCUCUUUACCAGAAUUUUUGUGGGGUGAAGCCUUAAGGACUGUGGCAUAUAUUUUGAAUCAAGUGCCCAGUAAGUCUAUGCCUAAGACACCUUAUGAGCUAUGGUCAGGAAAGAAACCCAACCUUCACCAUUUCCAUGUUUGGGGAUGUAAGACUGAGGUUAGGCCCUAUAACCCACAGUUAAAGAAACUUGAUCCUAAAACCAUUAGUGGUUUCUUUGUUGGCUAUUGCAUUGGAUCAAGGGGUUCCAGAUUUUAUUGUUCAUCUCAUACCACCAGGAUCAUUGAGUCAGACAGGGCUGUAUAUUUUGAGGAUGAAGUUAAUGCUGAUCCAAAUUUUAUGCCUCGUGAGAUACAUUUUGGAGAAGAGCAUGUUGUGAUUCCUUUUCCUACAUCUCAUGUUCCAAAUGUGGAUAUUCCUAUUGUCCAACAGCCAGCCACUAAUCAAGGAGAGCAUGGUGAUCAAGUGGAAUCUGGCCUUCUUGUAGAUGAUACUGUUGUUAAUGAGNNNNNNNNNNNNNNNNNNNNNNNNNNNNNNNNNNNNNNNNNNNNNNNNNNNNNNNNNNNNNNNNNNNNNNNNNNNNNNNNNNNNNNNNNNNNNNNNNNNNUCCUUUUCCUACAUCUCGUGUUCUGGAUGUGGAUAUUCCUAUUGUCCAACAGCCGGCCACUAGUCAAGGAGAGCAUGGUGAUCUAUGUGGAAUCUGGCCUUCUUGUAGAUGAUACUGUUGUUAAUGAGAUUCCUUUGAGAAGAUCACAGAGGGUUCGUAGGCCGGCUAUUUCAGAUGAUUAUAUGGUUUAUUUGCAGGAGCAUGAGUAUGAUGGUUAUGAUGCUUUUGAUCCAGUCACUUACCAAGAAGCAAUUCAUUGUCCUCAAUUCACUUCUUGGAAAGAAGCCAUGGAUGAUGAAAUGAAUUUUAUGUAUAUGAAUGGUGUUUGAGACUUGGUUGAAUUGCCACAUGGUUGUAAACCAGUUGGGUGUAAGUGGGUCUUUAAGACCAAACAUGAUUCUAGAGGGAAAAUAGAGAGAUAUAAAGUUAGACUUGUGGUUAAAGGUUAUAGUCAAAGAUAAGGAAUUGAUUUCAAAGAAACCUUCUCACCUGUGUCAACCAAGGACUCUUUUAGAGUGAUUAUGGCCAUAGUAGCUCAUUUUGAUUUGGAGCUACAUCAGAUGGAUGUCAAGACAGCUUUCUUGAAUGGUGAUUUGGAUGAGGAGGUGUAUAUGGAGCAACCUACUGGUUUUGCAAAAGUUGGAAAGGAAGAUUUAGUUUGCAAGCUCAAUAAUUCCAUUUAUGGUCAUAAACAGGCUUCGAGGCAGUGGUAUCUGAAGUUUGAUAGGAUUAUCACCCAAAAAGGCUUUAAAGAGAAUACAGUUGAUAGAUGCAUAUAUUUGAGGGUCAGUGGGAGUAGUUACAUAUUUCUUGUUUUAUAUGUUGAUGAUAUACUACUCGCAUCAAAUGAUUCUGACUUGUUGAUUGAGACAAAGCACAUGUUGUCAACCCAUUUUGACAUGAAGGAUCUUGGUGAGGCUUCUUAUGUUUUGGGCAUAAAGAUUCUUCGUGAUAGGGCUAAUGGAGUGCUUAAAUUGUCUCAAAGAGCCUAUAUUGAAAAGAUAUUGAAGAGGUUCAACAUGCACAACUGUAAAUCUACUAAAGCGCCAAUUGUGAAGGGUGAUAAGUUUUCAAAGGCUCAGUGUCCUCAAAAUGAUGAUGAGAGAGAGGAAAUGAGGACCAUUCCUUAUUCAUCUAUGGUUGGCAGCCUUAUGUAUGCUCAAGUAUGUACACGCCUUGAUAUUGCUUUUGUUGUGGGCAUGUUGGGAAGGUACUUGAGCAAUCCUGGGAGUCAACAUUGGAAAGCAGCUAAGAAGGUCCUUAGGUAUUUGCAAGGAACUAAGGACUUAAUGUUGACAUAUCAGUGCACCAGCUUACUUGAUGUAGUUAGGUUUUGUGAUGCUGAUUUUGCUGGCUGCAUAGAUGAUAAGAAAUCCACUACGGGCUAUAUUUUUAUGCUGGCAAGAGGAGCUGUAUCUUGGAAAAGUGUCAAGCAGACACUUACAACAUCCUCAACUAUGGAGGCAGAGUAUGUGGCAUGUUAUGAGGCUUGUUGUCAUGCUAUGUGGAUGCGGAAUUUUAUUUCAACUUUGGGAGUUGUUGACUUAAUUUCUAGACCGCUGAAAUUAUUUUGUGAUAAUUUCGCAGCUGUUGCUUUCUCAAAGAACACUAAGAGUAUUUCUCGCUCCAAACAUAUUGAUGUAAAGUUCUAUUUUGUUAAGGAAAAAGUGGCAGAGUCUCUUAUUGAUAUUGAACACAUGUCCACAAAAAGUAUGUUGGCAGAUCCAUUAACAAAAGGCUUACCCAUAAUUGCAUUUCAGGAACAUGUAUCUCAAAUGGGGUUGUUGGAAGCCUAGGUUGUAUUAAGUUAGUGGGAGCCAUUUUUUGGUAUUGUAAUACUAUGUUUUUGUUGGAAGGAUUGUUAUUAUUGUACAUUUCUCUAUGAAUCAAGCAAUGAAACAUAUAUGAUUGCUUUUGAUUAUUUGUUUUUGAUGAGAUUCUAUGGGACAUUAAUUUAUGAUUAUGUAUAUGUUGUGAUGUUUGAUUAUGUAGUCCAAGUGGGAGAAUUGUUGAAAUUUUUAUGUGUGGACUUACAUAAUCAAUUUAAUAAUAUCAUAAAUUAGUGUUAAUUUAAUUUUUGCAUUGUGGUCCAUAAUGGGACUGGACACAUAUUGUUGCUUGAUUUUUUAUGGGCUCACCCUAACUCACUUGAUUAGCCCAUUAAGUCAAGUGAUCCAAAUAAAGUGUGUAAUGUGUAAUAUAUAUAUAUAUAUAUAUAUAUAUAUAUAUAUAUAUAUAUAUAUAUAUAUAUAUAUAUAUAUAGAGAGAGAGAGAGAGAGAGAGAGAGAGAGAGAUGUGUGUGCAUUUGGAGAGUCUCAUCUUUUCUUCUCUUGGAGAGCACUGCACGCACACACACUUGCACUUUGGACUGAAUUCUUGGGAAGCAAGGGAAGAGCUCAUUGAUCCCUAGUUCUCGCACCAUCACGCACUUGGAGCAGCUUAUUGGAUAUCAGAGGAGGAAGAAAUGGCUUCCCAUGGCAUAAACCAAGGUAACCGGUUGAAUUUUUGCUAUUAAAUGCAUGCUUAAAUGUUAACAUGUGAUCCUAUGCUAUUUCAAUUCUCUUCAAGAUAACCAUAGCAAAAAAUUGGAUUUGGCAAGUAUUUAUUGAGGUAAUUUUGAAAUCUUACGAAAACAUGGACAACAAUAUGGAGAAACUUUAAGUUUGAAUUUAGCACUUGUUGAACAUUAUAAGAAGAAUUCUUUUUGUUAUAGAAUUUUUUAGAACAAUUUAGGAAUCAUUGAUUCACAUGGGACAAUAGUGGUUUUUUUGUUUACUUGAUGGCAGAAUUAUUAAGAAUUUCGAAGAUUACCAAAAGUUUAUUGUGAUUUAGAUGGAAUUGGAUUGUCAAUGUGUUUUUUAUUUAUCAAUAUGCAUUUUGGAACAUACAUUAUUUUUUUGUGUAUAUCCUCGUAUGGAAGAGACAGGGAGCUGUCUUGGUAGUUAAGUUGGGGAAUUCAGUUCUUAGCAGAUGCACCUUAUUGCUUUCUUUCAUCUUUACCUUCAUAUUUUAACUAGUCAUUUUUAUUGAAAAAUCAGUUGGUGGCUUUAAAGUAUUUACUCUUGUUUUUUUACAUUGUUGAUUGAUAUUUUUGUCAUGCAUGUAGAAGAAAAUUGAUAAGAUCCCCGUACCUCUCGGGGCGGGGCGGGGUCGGGUGCUGGCCCAUGCCGCCGGGACCAUCAGUAGCAUCUUCCAAUUCUGGAACAACUUCAGAAUCUCGACGGCCUCCGUCAACACAUCGGAGUACUUGAUGUUGGUACAGUGGUUGUCGUCGUCCCGAACCACGCGGCUCGGGUGCAAGAUCGCCAGCAUGAGGACGGUGCCGGUGGACAUGAAGCACAUGAACCCAAUGUAAGUAUCAUCAUUCACGGACGCAACCUCGCUCCGAUUGUAGUUCAGAAUGAAGGGGAUGAGCCCGCCGAUGAGGCCCCCCAUAUUGAAGAUGCUCUAGAAAAGCGAUAUGUAUGAACCCUUCCUCCCCGGUGGGGGGUACGACGUCAUGAUAGCUCCCUGCCCCACCCAGAGCAGUCCUGCUCCGAUUCCGAGGAUGACGCUAGCGACAAUGGCGAAGCCCUGGUGCUGAUAGUGGUUGUAGUAAAUGAAAGAGCCGACGCAGAGGACGUAGGUUGAGCAACUGACUCUUCAUCUUCCCCAAACCUCAUUUCUCUUCUUACCCACUAGAUUAGAUCAAGUUAGAAUCAGAUUCAAACCCAGAGUCUCUAUGUAUGUUGGUAAUUAUAAUUUCGGGGCGGGGUGGGGUGGGUAACUACAAACCCAUACCCUCCCCGUACCCGAUUUGGGUUUCACAAAACUAUCCCAUACCUGUCCCAUACCCAAUUAAUUUAUUCCAUACCCGUCCCAAUAGGGGCGGGGCGGGGCGGAUGACCUGAUUGACCCGUGAAAUUGACAUUCCUAUGUAGGGCUUUCUAUAAUGUAAGUCCAAACUUCUCACUCAUGUCCAUAUCUUCUGGUUUCAUACCAUCUAAAUAAGAUCAAAGAUUUUAGUGGUUGGAUUUAAUUACUACUAAAUUGGUUUUUACAAUAGUGGCUUAUUAGUUUAAUAAAAUUUAGGCUUGACAAAAGAUGAGUCUUACACAUCAAACAGGCGGUAUGCAAUUCAAAAGGUGAUAUGUGGUGAAAUUUGGAAGGUUACAAAAUUAAGUCUUGCAAAAUGAAAUCAAAUCAAAUAAUUAGAGUCAAAAGAGAAUUAAAAAUAAAUGUUUUCUUAUUGAAAUUUUUCGUACACACAGAAAACAAAUCUUCUAAUUGAUGUCAAAAGAGAAUUAGAAAUAAAUAUUCUUUUGUUGAUAAAUUUUCUAAAUGAGAUAGGCCAAUUUCUAAAUUAAGGAAACAAAUUCUUUGAAUUAAGCAAUCAAAUCUUGUGGGGAUUCCAAAUUCAAUUUCCUAACUUCACCUAUAAAUAAUGGUGACUUCUUUCAAUGAGAAGGAUUGGACAAAAAGGUUCACAUAGGAAAAAAAAAAGCUUCACAAGACAUCCCUACAAGUUUGAGAAAUCAUGGAAGUACUACAUGCGCAUUCUUCGUCAUUUAACAAAUUUAUUUAGGAACAAGUCACUCCAUGCCCUCGAUUGAUUUUCAACUUCAAGAAAAAACUUUCACUGUAGUCCUUUGAAUUGUAAUCAAAGUGACUAAAUUAAAGAAAAACUGUUAUUUUAUAAAAAAAUAUUACCACAAAUAUUAUACCAUGCAAUUAUUAUAAUACAAUUUUUUUGUUCAUGUAUUUUUCCUAUAGUUUUUCUUAUUUUGUAAAACUUCCUAAAUUUUGUGCAUUAAAAUAUUUGUCAAGCCUGGUGAGACAUCUAUGUCUCUCAUCUCUUUUGCUAAAACAAAUAUUUGAUCAGUACUAAGAUGAUGGCAACCAAAAAGAUUCAAGUUGCAUAUGUCCACAAGGAUUGACACACAACACCUCUACGAGCCUCAUAACUCAUAGCAAAGUAGAAACAACCAUUGCAUGUUCAAUAAAGCAAGCAAAUGAACACACUCAUUUAUUAAAAUUACCAAUGGGAACACACAACAAUUAGUAACCACUCAUCACCUUCGCCUAUUUAGAGGCAAAGGGCCAAAGUCCUCGUAGUAGGGAAAAAUGUCUUCAACACUAAGGGACUUUGGAGAUAAGUUUCCCUACUAUGUUGUUGGUGUCAAUUUCAACAUCGACUCACAUUCUGAAUCACCGAUUGAGAAGUUAAAGGAGGAUAACUCCUCAAAAUAUUCUAACUCCUUCAUUUCUUUCUUCUCGAUGAUUAUGCCGGUAAUGAAAAAAAAAACAAAAAAAACAUUAAAUUCAUAGAAGAAUAAUUAGUUGAGAUGACUCAAGUGUUAGGAACCCCAAAUUACUCCAUUCUCAUGCCUCGGAUUGGGUAAAGUGCAUGCAAAUCUAUCCUAGGCUCUCUAAAUCUAUCGCAACAGAUAAACAGAUAUUAAAAAACAAUAAGAAUACCAUAGAAAACAUAGAUCUAGAGACUAAAGCCACAUACCUUUGAUUUGAAUGUUCCCGGAUCAAUUCCAAUUGAUGUAAAUAACCCUAAAGUCAUAAUAGAUCUCGUAAACACCAUGAUCUUUUGCCCGAUGACUCUUCCUUAUGUCUAAGCACUGAAAUGGUGGAGAUCUCAAGGGUAAAGGCUAGGGUUCUCUCUGAGAAUGACAAGACAUUGAAACUCUAACCUUAAAGGGGUAUUUAUAAGCUUCCUACUAGGCUUAAGUGACUUAAGCCCACUAUGGGCUUAGGUCACUUAAUUUAGCCCAAAAAGGUUGCUAAUUGAUUAAUUAACCAUAUAAGGCCCUAAUUAAUCAAUUAGCCUAGUCCAAAGAUGACACUCACUUAUCCCUAUGCAACCUUACAUAAUUACUAAAAUGCUCUUAUGCACAAAAGUGAACUAAUAAAACAUUCAACCCUCAUAAACCGUGUCAUCAAGGAAUAUGAGCUCAAAACGGAGACCACUAGGACUCAUAGGAGUAUUGGCUCCUCAUAAUCAAAUUUUAGAAUUGACUCAACAUCCCACUAUAGAAAGUCAAUUACACUCCAGUACCCUAUGUAAAUUACAACGAGACACCAAGUGCUCAGGUCCGUGACCUGGUGUCCAUAAUCUAACAAGGUAGUACUAUCACCUAUCAAGAUUACCUCUUAAGGUUGAGAGUCCAUGCAGUUUAAUAACUUGGUGAAUCAUAACAAUUGAUAGUCUUAUGUCAUGAUUUACCAUAGGUCCUGUCCAAUAUGCAUGACAUAAACUAAUAUACUCACCAUAGGAAGCUCAUCCUUACAGCCAAGACAAGUCAUCCCUUUAAUUAGGAGGUGGUGCACUAUAGUCUCAACUGGAUUGCCCCAAUCCAUGAACCAACUAUGGACAACUUAUCUACUAAUAGAGAACUCAUGACUUGUAUUUUUUUAUGCAACUCCUAAUGCACCCAAGUCAUGUACAAUGUAAGAGACAUGGGCUAAAUACUCAAAUCAAUGUCAAUAUACCAAGGGAAUAGCAAUCUAACUUUGUUACAUCAUGUCUUGCUUUUUGGGGCUCAAUCCGAACAUCAUGUCACUGCCAAACUCACAAGACCAUGAAUGAGAAAUAUCUACAAAUAGUCUCCCUUAUGAACAAAGUUAAAGUAUAUUUAGGAGCAAAAUAGAGUUGAUUUGAGUAAAAGACUCACUCACCCUCUAAAUGCAUCUUAAGGUGAUGCACCACAUGCAUCUAAUUCAAUACAAGUUGGGAGGCAAACCAUAAAAUCUACCUUAAUGGUGUCACUAUCUAUGUAAUAACUUUAAAACAUGUCAACUAAUACUCUCAAAGCGUGGUAUGAUGGACAUCACAAAGUACACUAUGUACUCUAAACCUCACACCUAGAGGAUUGAUAACUUACAUAUGUUUGUGGGUUAUCAAACUCCAAAGUUUCAUUUAUUUGAUGGAAAUGAAAAUCCAAAGCAACACAUUACCCACUUCAUUGAAACAUAAAUCGAUGCAAGAAAAAAAAGUGACUUCUUGGUUAAACAAUUUGUUUGGUCCAUCCAAGAGAAUGUUUUUUAUUGGUACACAAACCUUACGCCUGUGUACAUUGACAAUUGAGACCAAAUGAAGCAUGAAUUCUUCAAUUGCUUCUAUAGUACCUAAUGAACUAUAAGUGUGAUGAAGCUUAUGAAUACUAAGUAAUGAAAAGAUGAGUCACUUGUUGACUACAUCAACCACUAACAUUCUUUAAGCUUAUAAGGAUAAAUUAUUUAAGGUGUCAAGAGUAGAGAUUUGUAUACAAGGUAUACCCUAGUGGCUUUUAUAUAUCCUUUAAGGCAUGAAACUCUACACCUUUGAAGAGUUGGCUACACAAGCACGUGAUAUAGAACUUGGUAUAAAAAACAAAUGCAAGUGAAAACAUGUCUAUUGAAGAAAUUAAAGAUAAUACUAUUGGGGGCAAAACCAUCAGUGAUAAGGAUGAAGAGAGUGUGACAUCAAAUUUCACUACAAUUAUUUUCAAACCUCAACACUUUAUUAUGCUCUAAAAAUAGAAAAAAGUUUAUCCUUCAAGUAAGCAAAAGUAGACAAAAUCUACUCAUAAGUUGGAGUUCGGUUCAUUCAAACAAGAAGUUUCUACAAAUAUUCAAAUGACAAAUAAGGUGAAGCCUAUGGAUAUACUUUAACUAUCCAAUAUAACAAAAGAUUGAACAAUAAUGAUGUUCUUUAAAGGAUAAGCCUAAACUGCAUAUUGCCCUUAGUCUACCAAAACUUAAACUAAAGUAACAAAAAAAAAAGUCAAAAUUAUGUUAAAGAAAAAAAAUCUUUGUUGGCAAACUUUUUAAACUAAAGGAACAAAUUCCUUAAAAUUAAAAAAAAAUUAAAAUAAUUAAAAAAUUAAAAAUUUUAAAAUUUUAAAAAAUUUAAUAAAUAAAAAAUAAAAGUCAAAUUUGGAGAUUUGGAUUCUUCAACUUCUCCAAAUCUUAGUGUCCUUCAGCAUGAAGCAUUCUAGAAAGGAAGAAGAUACAACUCAAAAGGCAAAUUCAAAAUCAAGCUUCAAAAGAUAGGAUCAACCUCUAAACAUUUUUCAACAAGUCCAUGGAAGAGUGUCAAACACAAUAGAAAAGUAUCAUUCAUCCACCUUCAAUACAAAGAAGAAAAAGUUGGAUUCUUCAAAACACUCAAGGAAAUUAUUUAUAAGCUUACUUGAGAUCAAGUCAUCAUUGAAUCUCGAUUAAACUUUGCUCCAUGAACACAUGUAUUCCACCCUUGGAUUGAAAUCAAAUCUAAUCUUGACAAUUUUUUCAACAAGAUUAUGAAAUAAUAUCAAACACAAUACAAAAAAAUGUCAUUCAUUGAUCUUCAAGGCCAAAAAUCAAGAUCAAAUCAAAGGAUUUUUUUUUCUUCAAAAUAUUUAAGAAAGAUCUUCACAAAUUUGGUUGAGAAAAAGUCAUCUUUGAAUUUCAGUGAAACUUUAUUUUGAGAACAUGCAUUUAUUGCCCUUAGAUUAAAAUCAAAACAAGUGAUGAUCCUUAGAGCCUAAGCCUAAACUGUAUAUUGCUCCUAACCUGCAUGAGCUUAAACUGUAUAUGGCAUAAAAAAAAAUCCACUAAGUUAAAAACCUAAAAAUGUGACUUAGGCAAAAGUUAGGACAUGCUCACAAGAUUAAAAUCUUUAGUCUUAGCAAAAGUUAGAGAAAUUUUUAAAAAAAUUACUUUGAAUUACAUUUGAAUUAAUCUCGUCUCUAUGAAAGUUAUGUGGCCAACUUAGGAAACUCCUUGAGUUUAGUCACCACCACCAAAAAAAAAAUGAUAAAUAGGAGAAGAAAUAGAUAGAUAUUAAAUAUAGUUCCAAUUUUAAGUAAAUGUUAACAAGUUGGAUACCUUUAUACAUCAAAGUCAAGUUCAUUCAUAUGAGUGAAGACUUUAAUACUUAAGUUGCAUUAGGUGUUAAAAAUAUAAUACUAUUCUACGUCAAAGUUAUGACUUUUCUAUAUGGAUGUUAAAUAUAGUUCAAAAUUUAAUUAAGUGUUAAAAAGUUAAAUACCAUUAUGCAUCCAAGCCAAGUUAAGCUAAGACAAUUCACAUGGGCGAAGACUUUAGCACUUAAGCACCAAAAAUACAACAUCAUUAUGUGUUAAGGCAACAACUUAUUUACAUAAAGGUCAAACUUCAUAUAUUCAUUUUUUUGGAUAUUUAAGUUUGUUAAAAAUUUCUAUUAUAACGUUAAAAUUUGGAAGACCAUAAAAUUAAGUCUUGAAAAAUAAAAUAUUAUCAAACAAUUAAAGUCAAAAAAGAAUUAAGAAAAAUAUAUGUUCUUUCCUAAACAAAGGUAAUAAAUCUUUCAAUUAAAGUUAAAAGAGAAUUAAAAAUUAAUAUUUAAUUUCUUGCUGGGAAAUUUCCUAAAUGAAUGAGAUGAGUUGCUAAAAUUAAGGAACCAAAUUUUUUGAAGUAACCAAUCAAAUCUUAGGAAUUCCAAAUUCAAUUCCCUAACUUCACCUAUAAAUAACAAUAACUUUUUUUAAUAAAAAGAUAAAAAAUAAAAAUAAAAAUAAAAACCUUCAUAUAGGAAAAAAGGCUUCACAAAGAGAAAAAAGUUUCACAAAACAUUCCUACAAGUCCAAAAUAUCGUAAAAGUAUCACACGUAUUCUUCGUCAUUCAAUAAAUUCAUUCGGAACAAGUUAAUCUUCAAUUCGAAGAAAACAUUUUCAUUGUUAUCCUUCAUAUUGUGAUCGAAGUGAUUAAAUAAGAGAAAAAAUAUUUUUUGUAAAGAAUAUUAUCACACAUAUUGUACUCCAAAAUUAUUUUAAUACAAAUUUUUUAUCCGUAUAUUUUUUUUUAUAGUUUUGCUUAUUUUGGAAGACUUUUCAAAAUUUGUGCAUGUGCGUAGACCAUCUUCAAGCAUGAAUGCUCCCAACCAAAGGAGUGAAUAAGAGAAGCCUACACCAAGUGUACCAUUCGAUGAGCUAAUGACAUUCCAGAACCUAUGCUUCUUCAAGAACUAAAUGGAAUCAGCUCAAAAUCUUGGCCUCUAGCAUCAAUGUCACGCUCUAAAAUCCUUUCAGGCACAAACACAUUUGGGUGUGACCAUAAACUUGGAUCUCGGCCAAUAGCUUAUCCAUUUACCAGAAUUUGUAGAUUUUUUGGUGCUGUGAAGCAAAUGUAUCAUAUAUAUCACUUCAACAUCAGCUUGGGCUUUCUAGGGAAUUGUUAGUGGGGCUGGUGGGUGCAACUGAAAGGUCUCUUUAACUAUGGAUUGUAAGGAAGCUUUUGAUGUCUGAUUCUUGAACUAUCCCACCCUUGCCUAGAAUUUCUUGGACCUCCUUUUGAGCUUUGCCAUUGUUUCCGGGUUGCGUAUUAACUCAGCCAUUGCCCACUUUACAGUGCUCCAAGUUGUGUUAGUUUCUGCAACAAAUAUGUCCUGAUCAUACAAACCAAUUAAUCUGUGAAGAUGCACUUGUUUCAUAAUGUGAAUGGAAAAAAUGAGAGAACAAGUGAAUGGAACCAGUUAUAUGUCCUGAUCAUAUAACCUAAAAGACGUGUUUCUGAUUCAGAUAUAUCCUGUAUCAUAAUGUGAAUGGAGAGGUGAGAGAACUCUAAUUUUAAAAUGAUCCAAGGGAAUUUUGGCUGUGUUGUCUGCAUAUCUCUUAACAUAGAACUGAAUGCAUAUUGGCCACUCUAUUGUAGCCACAAACUACUACCAGGGCAAGAUCAAUCGUCUAGAGUAUUUAUCUUUCCUUUCUUGCAAAAGUCAAUUUCAUAUUAUCUUGAAAAAUGCUAACCGCAUUAUGCUUACAAUUUUCUUUUGCUUCCAAUUAGCCAUCUAUGAUCCUUUCUCUUGCUUUCUCAUAUAUAUACUGCAGUUUUAUUGUGAUUUUCCUUUAUUGUAUUUGAAAUUGAUCUCUUAGUUUUAUUCUUUCCUUUACUAAUUUCCCUUCAAAAAGUGAAAAAGUUCUCUCUAGUUGACCAGAAUCAACAAUUUAUGUGAUUGACUUAUUGGUAACUGCAAAAAUUUCAUUUAACGACACUAUGCACCUAAUGACAAAAAUUUCGUGCAAUGACACUAUUUGCUUAACAACAAAUUUCUUUUAACAACACCAUUUGACUAAAAUUCCCAUAUUCGUCUUAAUGAUAUCAGCUAAAAGCUUUGAGUCGUCUAAUUGACAUUGGCUAAAAUUCCCUAAUUCAUCUUAGUGACAUCAGCUAAAUGCCUUGAGUCAUCUAAAUGACAUCAGCUAAAAUUCCUUGAUUCAUCUUAAUGACACAUUGCCAAAAUGCCUUGAUGCGUCUAAAUGAUAUCAUUCAACUCAAUGACAAACUUGCCUUAAUGAUAACGUUAUGUCUCAAUGAGAAAAUUUAGUCUCAAUUUCAUCAUUACACCUAAAACUCCAUCAUACUAAGUGUUACUCAAACCAAAUGUCAUCAAGCUAAGUGCCAUCAUGAAUAAACAUUUGUCUAGAUAACAUACCCAUCAAAGCGAAGUAUCAUGCUAUAAACCAAACAAUCAUAAAUUACAACAACUAUAAAAAAAAUGAUGAGUUUUGUGAACAUAAAACAUUCAUUCAAAACAAAGUAAAUCUAACAUGUAUGCAAAAAGUAAUAACGCAAAAAUAUAAAAGGCAAACCCAUAUUCUAAAUAAUAUGAACUUAAACAAGCUUUUCGCAGUAAGGGGCAAAGUCUCUUUAUUAAAUUUUUUGUUCUUUUCUCGCUCAAAAGAUCUCUUAAUGGCUCCUUUUAAACGAGAAAGUGGGGCAAACGAAGUGAGCACUUGAGUAACCAUGAUGAAGAUGGCAACCAAGCAUCUAUGUUCGACAGCUACAUGAACCAUCCAUGUAGAAAAGAACUUGAAGACGGUCAUGUUAACACGAACAUGGCCUCAUCCCAAAUCCUAGAUAAUAUUUUUCAAUUACAUAUUUAACCAAUGGGAACAUGACACGUAGAAAGCCGUUUAAUUAUAUAUAAGGGGAGGUUCUAGAACAGGGCUAAAAAACAGAGUGCACCAACACUACGUGCUACUUAAUUACAUGGAACCAAAAAAUACAAUUAAACCUUGAUGGGAAUAGCCCGUAGAGGCUGGGCCUUCUGUAAUGUAAGCCCAAACUUCUCACUCAUGUCCAUAUUUUCUGGUUUCAUACCAUCUUCAAGCUUCCAAGCAUGGGAAUAAAGAAGAGAGGCCAACAUCAGGUGCACCAUCCUAUGAGCUAAUGGCAUUCCAGGACAUAUUCUUCUUCCAGCACCAAAUGGAAUCAACUCAAAAUCUCGGCCUUUGACAUCAAUAUCACACUCUAGAAACCUCUCAGGCAUGAAUGCAUUUGGGUUGGGCCAAGUGCUUGGAUCUCGACCAAUUGCCCACGCAUUAACUAGUACUUGUGAAUUCUUUGGAAUUGUGAAGCCACAUAUUUCUACGUCUGUUUCAGCUUUAUGGGGAACUAGCAGUGGGGCUGGUGGGUGCAACCGAAAGGUUUCUUUAACUAUGGAUUGUAAGUAAGGGAACUUCGAGAUGUCUGAUUCUUGAACUAUCCCUUCAUUCCCAAGGACUCCUCGGAUCUCCUUUUGAGCUUUUGCAAUUUUUUCCGGGUUGCAUAGUAACUCUGCCAUUGCCCACUCUACUGUGCUUGAAGUCGUGUCAGUUCCCGCAACAAAGAGAUCCUGAUCAUACAAAGCAAUGUUAGAAUUAAGGUUUCAUUGAUCAUAAUUUGCAAUUUGCACUUACCAAUGUUUUCUACAUGAAAUCUCAAGAAAAAUGUGUGCAAGAAGAAACUCCAAGGAAGACUGACUUCUAAUUCAUUGCUUACUUAAAUUUUCUAGGUCAAUUCAGUUUAAUAACUAUAACAAAUUUCAUAAAUGCAUCAAAUUGAAUGUGACGUAUGUGCAUAAAGACAAUUAAAUGAUUUCAUUUCCAUAGUCAUCCGAAAACGCCCUUGUAAAAUUUAACAGACAAAAGGAGUACUGAUUACUAAUAGUGAAGAUGUAGUUACCCACCAGAAGCAAAUGUUUUAUAUCACUGCAGCUCCACUCAUUGUCAUUUUCUUUUGUGAGAUUGAGGAGGGCAUCUAGUACAUCCUUGCUUGCUGAUGAAGUUUUUGAUUGCAACCUUUGAUUUAUUAUACCAUCAAAAAUAUGAAAUAAUUUAUUAAAAUAAAUUUUCAUGUUCCACCGUAUACCUUGUGGAUCAAUCAAUCUAAAGGCCGGGAAAUAAUCUACAAAGUUGGGUCUUCCAACUCCUUCCAUCACACCCCGGGCAAUAUUCUUGAACUCUUGUGAAAAAUUAGAACCAUGAUGAGCCAAAUUAAUGGAGAAAAUAGUGUUCGAUAACAAAUUAAGGCUUGCUGUGAAGACUGCUCCAUUAAUAUCGACUGCACAACCCCUACUGCAACAUUCUUCCACAUGAUCCAGCAGUUCCUGUACAAUUUUUCUCCGAAGGCCUUGGCUGGCAUCGAGCUGCUGCACCGAAAAUAUUUCCCUGGUGCAUAUCUUCCUAAUCUUUCGCCAAUGCACUGAUGCUGGAACCCAUACCACUGAAGACUCAUGAUGAUUAUGCGCUCUGACAGCAUCCGGGACUGUUCGGCUGGAGAAAGCUUGAUCAUUUCUGUGUAGGACCUCUUUUGCAGUUUCUGAAGAGGAAAUGACUAUGGUAGCAAUACUCCCAAGCUUGAGAGACAUUACAGGACCAUAAGUUUUGGAGAGAUUUGCAAGUGAUCGAUGGGGUUUGUCCCCAAGUUUGAGGAUGUUGCCGAUGAUUGGCAAAGGCCGGGGGCCUGGAGGGAGGCUGGCUGUACCAGGUUUCCGGCCAAUCGGACUGAGUUUGAGGAGAUGAAUGCAUGUCCACACAAAGGAAAGCAAAAGCAAAAAUGUUAUGUAAUCCAUUGUCUACUUCUUUUCACUCUUUUCCUCUCUUCUCUUGUUUAUGAGACACGGGAUUCUCCCUAUCGUCUCUGGUAUCUGUAUGGAAACAUGUGGACCAUGAAAUACUAAUCAACAAAACAAUGGUCUACUUUUUAAUUUCUUAUUUGGCUUUAGUGUUAUUUUCAUGAAAAAUCAAGGACGGACCACAGCCAACUUAAUAAACCCGUGAGUGAUUCUGCUACGAAACAACACCAACCAUGGAAAACAAAAUAAUGCUGCAAAACUAACAUAUAACACUGUUAAAAAAAAUCACCAUUCACAGACAAAGCCUUUUACCCAUACAAAUAUACACUAAAGGAAAAAUAUUUAUACAAUAAUCAUGUACGCUUGUCUUUAUGGGUCUUUACUAAUCCUCAAAACUUCUCUUUAUAAGUCAUAUAACCUUUUCUUGGCUUAAUGAAGAUGAGUUUUCAUUCUUCACUUUAAUUUUAAAAGUUAAUAAUCAUUUUUAAACAAAUUUUAAAAUAGAAAACUAACACACCUACAAGCUAUCAAUUUCUCAUUCUUGUUUAUCAAACCAACAACAUUUAUGUUUUACAUAGAAAAAUCAUAUAUAUAUAUAUAUAUAUAUAUACCAAUGUCAUUAAAAAUAUUCUUUUUCUUCUUAUUGUUAUAUAUAUAUAUAUAUAUAUAUAUAUAUAUAUAUACCAAACAUAAUUUUGUUUUUAUUUUUAAAAUAAAAAUAGAAUUAGAAUAUACAAAUUUAAUUAAACAAUUUUUAGUUUUCUACUUCUAGAAAUAGUAAAAAGAUCAAGAUCGUACAUUCCAAUAAUUUUUACUUAUUUAUAAUCUUUGGUGAAAAUAAAAAUGAAAUAAAGCCUGAAAGAUUAGGAUGUGAUGUCAAUAUGAUCAAUACUUGAGUUGUAAGUUGGCAUGGGGUUUAAUUAAAUAAAUUAUGGUAUAUAAUUAAUUAAUGGGCUUGGUCUUGUCUUAACGGACGAAACCACUUAGAGGAAGUGUGAAUAGGUAAGAAUAACUUUCUAACAUCGAUCUCCCUCCUCGUUAGGAUCCAAUCAAUGAAGUAGGCUACUGCUAUAUGAACCUGGAUGCGAUGUGAGGCAGUAUAGAAUGUACUACACUCAAAAAUACCAAAUUGUCAAGCUGGUUUGAUCACAUCAAUCAAUGGAAUACAUAUGGGUAAGAGACAAGCCUCCUCAUAAAAAGCAUGAGCAAUAGCCGCACACUCAACUCGUAAGAGGGUCAGGAUAUUAGAAACCAUAGGAGGAUCAAUGCCUUAAUAUAGACACACAUCCCCAAGUCAAUUUUUGACAAAUCUAUCAAGAAGACACAACAAAGUCUAAACCAUUUAUCAAAACACUAAAAUAUACUCUAGGAAUAUACUAAUAAUGGAUGUUAUCAUAGAACAUCCAAGUGCAGUGAUUAGGGUAUAUAGCCAUUUGAAUAGACAUAAUAGCCUUCCACCUCUAGUCAUAGACAAUGUAGGGAAUACGAGUACCCAAACUUAGAAAAAAUCAUAUAGCACACUUUGGCUCAACAUGUCUCUCAAAGAUUAUAUCAUAGAAUGCAAUCCUAUGUUUCAUAAAAUAGAAAUAAUGAAUGGGAAGGUUAUAUUGUAUAGGAUUGAUGAAUAGGUGUCCUAACAUGAGGAGACCUAGAAUGAGAAGCAGCCUACUUCUAGACCCACCUCUACCACAAGUCAUAGGAAAAAUAAGAGAAAAUUUUGGGAAUAGAAAUUAAUCUAGGAAAGUGUGCGAUCAAAAGUGUCCUAAACAUUGAGCUUAGAGGCCCAUUAAAGUCAAAUAUAAAGAGAAAUUGCAAGAAAAUCUUAUGAAGGAAGAGCAACGAAUGUUAGAAGAGAAAGGAGAUAAAAAUGGAGGCAUAUAGUGAAUAUCAAGUGUUGGUGCACUUUUAAAAUUAAGGACAUUCGAAUAUCUCAUAAAGAGUGUGUAGACCCUUAAUUUUAUUCAUAUUUAUAUGAUAUAAGCUUAUUUAGAUGUAGUCUUUUGACUUACCAUUUCUCUUGACUUUAUUUUAUUCCAUUUUAUAAUUAUUUUUAUUUAACUUUUUCACUUUUAUUCUCUAUUCUUUCUCAGUUCUUCCUUACCUUGCUUUUCUUUCUCUCCACACAUCACCAUACGUGCACCAUGAUUACACUUCCAUUAAUUUCUAAAGAAACAAACAAUUUCCUCCAUUUGUUUUUUAGAAAGGAAUGCGGGUAUAUCUAAGCCAAACUAGAAGUGGGACUUGUGUUGUUGAGUGAUCAUUGUACAUUCAAAUCUAACAAUAAGAUACUGGAGUCCUCCGCGUUAAUUAAUUUUCCAGAUGAUAUAUUGUUUGUCAACAUAAUGUUUGGGAAACACCCCAAUUUGCCACUUAGUUGGCCAAUCUCUACCAUCCUACCAAACACAUUUCUUUUUCUUUCCUUCACUCACUGUUUUACAAAUCUACUUGCAGGGUAACUUUCAACAAUGAAGGAUGGACCACAGCCAAAAGAACGGAUUGUACUAUAGCGCAUGGAAAACAAUAAUGCUGGAAACUAUCUUUCCUUUUUCUCACUGUUUUUCAAAUCUACUUGUUGGGUCGCUUUAAAAAAAAUGAAGGAUGGACCAUAGGCGGAGCUAGAAAAUGACCUGAGAGGGGCCAAAAUAUGAGAACAUAUUUCAGAGGGACAUAAAUGAUUGAAUUUACCUAGUGAUGUAGUGGCAAUGAAAGAUAUUUUUAUUCUUUUCCUAGGUGGGACAAGCACCAUGUGGCUCUGCUCCUGGAUGAACCACAACCAAAAGAAAGGACAAACCGACAUUGCUUGUACUGUAACACUUAGCAUGGAAAACAAUAAUGCAUGUUUUAAAAACUGAUCAAUCAAAGCCUGGUCCAGUUCGAUUCACAUGUUGAGCUGAAGCCAAGGAACCUACUGAACAGAGGUUGAGAUGGACCAAAAAUACCACAUACCACAAAUCUAUAGUAUGGGACCAUUGAUCGAAGAUUCAAAGAAAUGACUGUGCAACCACUAGAUCUAGUGCUAGUUUUGUUAUAUAACAGUUGCAUUAUUAGCUAAAUUUAUCCUACUUAUUUAUGUAAUAAUAAAUUUGAAAAAAUAAUAUAAGCAAAAUAACCUACUAUCUUUUAAAACUAUAAAAUAAUCUAAUAUUUAAUAUGUAAAUAAAGUUAAAUAAUAUUAUAUAUAUAUAUAUAAUAUAAAAUAUGAAAAUGUUAGCUGACUUAUUUCAUGAGCAUUUUUGUUUCAGUCAUCUAAAAAAAUUAACUCUGUUAUUGUUAAACUAUGAUUCCCUGCAAUAAAAACACUACAUUAAACCAUGAUUUCGAUUACUCUGAUGAGCAUAUUCCUCCUUAGUUCUUUCAUCUAUAUUGUAGCACAAGACUAUUACAACUUCUAUCCACCCUUUUAGCUGUUUCUCAUGCAAGUGACACAACAGAGAAAAAACAAAGGUCCCACCUAUUGUACCUAAAUCCUUCUUUAUUUAUAUCAUGAUUUUAUAUAUUUAUACUACCGUUUAGUAAUUAUAUUUUAUCAAAUAUUUUGAAAACCUUGGGUGGGUAUUAGGUAAUAAUAGGGUACAUAAACAACAUAGAAGUUGCAUUCAUUAAAACAUAAAAAUACAAUCAAACUUUGAUUGGAAUAGCCCGUAGAGGCUGGACCUUGUGUAAUGUCAACCCCAAUUUCUCAUUCAUGUCCAUAUCUGCUGGUUUCAUACCAUCGUCAAGCUUCCAAGCAUAGGAAUGAAGAAGAGAGGCCAAUAUCAGGUGCACCAUCCUAUGAGCUAAUGGCAGUCCAAGACAUAUUCUUCUUCCCGCACCAAAUGGAAUCAACUCAAAAUCCCGGCCUUUGACAUCAAUAUCACACCCCAAAAACCUCUCAGGUACGAAUGCAUUUGGGUUCGACCAAGUGCUUGGAUCUCGACCGAUAGCCCAUACAUUAACUAGUACUUGGGAAUUCUUUGGAACUGUGAAGCCGCGUAUUUCUACAUCAGAUUCAGCUUUAUGGGGAGCUAGCAGUGGGCCUGGUGGGUGCAACCUAAAGGUCUCUUUGACUAUGGCUUGAAAGUAAGGGAGCUUUGAGAUGUCUGAUUCUUGAACUAUCCCAUCCUUGCCAAGGACUUCUUGGAGCUCCCUUUGAGCUUUUGCCAUUUUUUCCGGGUUGUGUAGUAGCUCUGCCAUUGCCCACUCUAU
rnacentral:lncRNA from 1 species